CAGUCAAGCAACGACAUCAAUUUUCCAAGGCAGAAGAAUUGUUACUAAAUGAAGAUGUCUGCAAAAAUCGUGUUCAUCUAAGCCUGAUAAGCCAAAGGCUUAAGUGAGUUGUAGUCAUAGCGACCCAUCUGUCAUCCAGAGUCCCGCAGCUUUUCUCGUACACAAUUUUCUUCUCCAGAACUGCUGACGGGAUUUUGAUGAAAGUUUGCAGGGAUGAAGAAAUCGAGGCCCGCUACAAGUUUUAUCAUGAUUUCUCAUUGGGUGUGAAGCAACCAUUUGGAGGAGCCCUUUUUUGUGAUCUGCAACACAUACGAAUAUUGCCUCCAGUUUGUUGAAGAUAGAAAUGGCGGUCCAAGCAAAGGAAAGACAAAAAAAGCAACAGAAAGCAAACCGGGAGGCAAAGAAACUUACCAAAUUUCUUGAAUAUUUGCCUGCAAACCACAAUAAGUGAAGAGAAUAAACCAAAUCAUGUUUGGAUAGUCCAGACAUUGUCAUAAUACGUGCUAUAAUUAAUCACUACACUUUCAUUGACAGUAAACGUUCAAUCAUGUACGCAUUCAAGUGUGUGUUGUUUUCAUGUGCAAUAUCUGAUACUAUAACAAAUAAAUGUGAAAUAAAGUUUAAGUUUGACUUACAUUAUUUGCAUAAUGAGUGUAGAAUAUGUCAAAGAUUUUGCAUGAAUAUUGUCAUAAAAUCUUGAAGAUUUCUAGGGUC